rnacentral:rRNA from 1 species
UACGGAGGGUGCAAGCGUUGUGCGGAUUUACUGGGCGUAAAGCGCACGUAGGCGGCUUGCCAAGUCGGACGUGAAAUCCCUCAGCUCAACUGAGGACGUGCAUCCGAAACUGGCGAGCUUGAGUACUGAAGAGGAUCGCGGAAUUCCCGGUGUAGAGGUGAAAUUCGUAGAUAUUGGGAAGAACACCGGUGGCGAAGGCGGCGACCUGGUCCGAUACUGACGCUGAGGCGCGAAAGCGUGGGGAGCAAACAGG